GGGAUUAUCUCUGUGCAAUGUUCAAAAACCUUGCAGGCUAGAUGAACCGGGAAAGUGUAUGUUGGUAACCAACAUUUCCAGAUACAUGUGACACUACAACACCUCUUUCUCCUCAAUACUAAGGGAAAACACUGAUACACAUAAACCUAACAUGCGAGAGCUAUACAAAAACGCACAGCAGCCCAAAUUUAUUUCAAAGGGUAGCCCUUUUGAAUAUCUCUUAAGUCGUCUUGAUGUGACUCAGAGAAUAAAAGUACAUUUAAGAAAGCUGCCAAAUCAGAAAAAAUAAAUACAUUUGUUGGUUCGUUUUUUACUAAAAUUGAGAAAAUUGUGACUGUUAUAUUGACUAGAAGGUCCAAAAAGUCACAAUACAAGUGAGGUGAAUAAAUCCAAGGCAUGAAUGUUGUAUCUUAAUUGUAAGAUAGCAUUGUCUGCCAGCCCCCCACAUUUUAAAUCCUGUCAUUCAUGUUUUUUUUUCUACUAUUACAAACUAUUAAUGUCAAUACUAUGCCAUUGCUGCUAUAACUUCUUUUUUGAAAGAAGUUCCGAGAGUUAAAAGGUCCUUUACUCUUCACACUAUAGUAACAGUCCAGAUUUCAAGAACAGGAAAACGUUGAGUGCAACAGAUACUCACAACCAGAAGAACUCCACAUUUUGCUUUUAUUGAUAAAAGCAGAGAACAAUCAUGAGAUUGAUUUGUUUCAUUACUUUUUAGAUCAUGUUAAAGAUGUUUUGUUUAAACUCAGAAGCAAAGUCACUUUGAGAGAUUGCCCCUCAAGUGUUCAGCCCUAAUCAGAGGAAAUGAAAGACAGAAAUUCAAGAGCUCUUUCGGGGCCACCAGGGGGCGGUAGGAGGCAGAUUUGAUUGUAUCCUGUACUGCAAACACAAGGGUGGAGGGAUUGUGGGAGAAAAGAGGAGAAGAGGCUGUUUUUUAGUUUUUUAAAUCGGAGUCCCAGAUGAAUUUAACUUAAAGCAAAUCAAUACAGUGGCUCAUCAGGAGUAGUGUUAAAUGACUGCUGCAAAAUGGAUCCAAUCAUGUACCUUGUAGCAUCAUGGCCCUUUCUGUGUGGCCCUACUGUCUUCUCCUCACGUUUUUAUUCUGUGUUCAGAGAGGUAUUAUCCGCACAUCGUUGAUCAUCUGUCCAGCGAAAGGGAAUAGUCUGUUCUUACAGAUAAAACGGGAAGGGGAGGGUUGAGUGCCUCGUCGUUGCUCUUCGUCUCAUUUCUUUUCCUCGGAUUAGUUUUAAUAGCAGUUCAUACUAAGAGUUUCUAAAUAUGUAAAUCUAUCACUGUAUAUUGCUGUUUUUUUUUUCUUUCUUUCUUUCUUUCUUUCUUUCUUUAAAUGCACCAUUUAUUUCUUCCGGCUUUCGUUUGUUCUCCAUUUGGAAAAAAAAAAAAUACUUGACAGAUGCAAGGGGGAUUUUUGCAUUGAGUUUAGUCCCCGUGUUUUCGGUAUUAAACAGACUGUACUGUACAUUAAAUGGAUGCAAGUUGCUGGUUUUUAUUCAGUCUUUUCAGAACAGGGUCUGUAUUUUGAGGGGUUAUAAGUCAAAUGUUUCCGUUAAUGAUGUUGGACUUCACUUUUGUUUUGUUUUCAUACAUGAAAACAUAAUUUUUGCACAAUGUCUUUUUGUGAAUGUUAACCUGUUUCUGUACCGUCUUGUAUUUCCUUCAUGUGUGUCUGGGAGUGUGCGUGAUGGCAGGAGAGAGCGCGUGUCUGUGUGCAUGCAUGCGCACACGUUUUGUCGUGGAGCUGUGUUUCGACUUCUGUCUCGUGCUUACAGGUCACAUUUCUUGUUGGGGGGGCUGGGGGGGGAACAAAAACAUAGUUGUUGCCUUGUCACACCUUUGUGGCUACAUAUAAUUUAUUAUACUUUUAUUUUGCUUUGCCAAACUUUCACCAAAUAUGACAUUCUUUUCUCUUUUAGUUUCAUUAUGUAUUAUUCAAAGUAAAAAUGCCUUAUUUAGCAAGUAUGUUUUGUAUAGAUGUUUCUGUUACAUCUCCAUAUAGGGACAUGUUAUCGUGUUUGUGUUCAGUUUGUCCUUUGCCUUGUAUGCAUACACGGCCAUUGGUGAUGUGCAUUAUCUUCAAAAGCCAACAGUAAUGCAAAGGUACCGCUGUCCAAAUCACUACGUUAAUUCCCGAAAAGUCAAUCAGUCAUCCCUCAAAGCACAAAUGGAGAGUUAACAAAAAAGGGACAUGUUUUCUUACCAGUGCCUCUAACAUGACUUUAAAUACUUUCUCUUUUUGUGGGCUUCACUUGGAUACGAUGUUGACAUCACAUUUCCGUAGUGACAUCAUCCUCAAGAUAGUGAAAAUGUAACUCUUUGUUUGAUUUCACUAUACGCAGAUGAUGCUGUGCUGCUUGUUGAAGGGGAAUUCUGGAUUAUUUCCCAGCAUUAUGAGUCAUGAUAACAUUUUACUCAACAACUCUGUUGUAGAGAUUUGGAAAAUCAAUAUUUUCGCUUUGUAUCGAUAGUAUUGGAUCGCUGAGGAUUGAAUCGAUAUAUCGAUCUAGAUGUAUGUUACACCCCUAGUUGGGAGUGAGAAUGGGUUGCAGUUUCUCAAAUCUCUACAACAAAGUUGUAGAGUAAAAAUGUUUUGGGAAUGAGAUGCAGUUUGUGCAAUACCGGAAUUUCCCUUGAAGGAUGGCUGUUUAAUCCCAUACCAUUGUCUCAAUGAACGAGGCCUUCUGUUUGGUAUCCAGCCCAUCUAGGACGGUAAUGCACACACAGUAUGUGUCCAACUCAAGUAUUUUGAUUGUUCUUGUGUGUUUGCUAAGAUUCCUUGGAAAAAAUCAGAAGCGGAAACCAGUUGUCGCGUACCACAGCUAGAGCAUCUGAAAAAACAACUUUUAAUUCCACAGCCCAUGUAUGCACACCAUUUCCUGUUACUGGCUUGUUCCUGUGUAAAAGCUUGAAACAAACUGGUAGGUGUGGUGUGUGACAGCAGUCGGAGGUUGUAUUGUCCGUUCGUGUCACACCAUGCCUUCUUUAACAGUGUUCUUUCUUUUCAUUGAAAUCCUUUUUUUGCUAAACUGAAAUGUUCUCCAAAACGGUCACCUCAAAAUGUUGUAAACGUUUUUCUCUCCUAUCAUAAAUGAUGUAUUUAUUGUAUAGUUCUCGUCUUUACAUCGUAGUCUCAUGACUGAUUAAUGGCUGGGUUUUUUUGUUACUCCUGAACGUCUCCUGAAAGACGAAAGCAUUUUGGUUCACAUGGAGGCUUUACCCUCUGCUUUUCUUUUUGCAGCACUCGUCAACCUGCUAAUCUGCGUUUGAAAUGUAAUGACAUGGUAAAAGGUCCCCAGAAUACCUCCUGUUUAUUUUCCAUAUGAUAAUAAUCCAAUAAUAUAAUCUAAAAUCCCUCUCUGGGGUUAUUGGGCUGAAUCCCUGGACCCAGGAUGCAGCUGAUCCAAAUGAUAAAAUGUACAUUUGCGUAUUUUCUGACUACAUUUCCAGAGAUGACUGAAAACUAUCAGAGUCUCCAGCAGACAUGGCAGUUAAUCUGCUCGCUUCAGAAACUGAAUAUCUGAAUAAGAAAGCAGGCCCAGAUUUACACAAUUUUAGCUCCAGGUGCUUUAUUUAUUUCUUUUCCUUUUUUCUGUAUUCUUUUUCAAAUCAUUAAUACUGGAUUGUAAGUCCUUCAGAUCCAGGUGGAGAAUCCUCCGUUAGAUUUCAAAUAUUUACAUCCAUAAAAACUAAAUGAGAGAACAGGUGCUGGAUUUCGUGGCCUGUUGAAUAUUUUUUUUCUCCCUUUCAAUCAGUUCUAAACAGUUUGGUCUUUUAAAAUGACCAUGCCUAAUUAAUGUUUAUUACCAUCUUUUCGCUGGCUGUUGGCCUGACUGGUUCCAAGUUAGUGGGUAACCAAACUAUCACAUGCUGGUUCUGCCGUUUGGUUUCAGCCGCCUGCGUCACGGCCAUCCCACUCUUCUUGAUUGCAUUUUAAUGCUGCUGCUGUUGUCUCCGAUUUGAAGACUGACCAUUUAUUUGGAUCCAUGAAUCCAUGUCCGCUGAUUUGUAGCCAAGGAUAAAAAUGAACUUUUUCGGUGAGUGAAGCAAAUCUACCAGCCACUUGCAUAUUUGACCAGCAUUUAGCUGGUAAAUGGUGCUAAUUUGGAACCCUGUUUGUAGCAGACUGUGACUUUUGACUUCCCUGUAGAAGGAGGCCAAUUGUGGUUUGUGAUAGGACGAAGAUCAUUUGAAAGAACUAAAAAGGGGAAUGUAGCCGGGUCUGGAACUCUCGUAACCGCAGAGAAAAUCCAAACACACUUCAAAGGCUUUCCAAUUCUGAAAUAAUUCUUGUAUUUCCCGCUUAAGCUGACAAACAUUUUAUCUUCCGUUUCUGCAGCGUGAGAGCGUGGCUGCCUGGAUAAAUGAACAAGAAUUAGCUUCUUAAAAUGCAAUCAAACCAUGUCAUGCCAUAGCAACACUUGUUUCAUUCAUAAAUUCUUCCUGAGUUAGCUUUUAGCUUGUUGUAACCAUUUUGUUUUUAAGAGGCACGCAGAAGAGAAACUAGCAUUCUCAACACUUGAUUUGUUAUAGAACAGCAGCACGAACAUGCAACCUAAAAUAAUACCAAAACAUUCAAAAAAUCGAUGUUUGACCCACUGUGUAAGAGAGCUGGAAAGCAAAGAUUUGAAUCAGAUGAUUGCAGGGUUUGGACAGUUGAUCAAGGAAUGGGAACUUCACAUCUUCCUCCUUUAUUUAUGUCUGUGAAACCAGCCGGCUUACUAUGACAAAGAGGGCAAGGUAAAUCAUAUUUGACAGUACUAGCAUCACUGAACAAAGUGCAAUGUAAUCCACAGGGAAGUUGUUCUAAAAAGCGGAGAAAAGACAAUAACUGGCUGCUCCUGACAUCAGAAACCUGGUCAUUACUGCGUAAGUGAUACGGUGGGGUUUUUAUUUUCUUAUUUGUAACUAUAGCUCUCUGUAUUCCCAUGUGGACCAAUCUCAUGAGUCGAGACAUGGUAUGUGUGAUCUUUUAUUGUGCAAUAAAAGAUGACUUUCAACUUUCCUUUGUCCCCGGUGAGUAAUUCCUUCAUUCUGUGGAGAUUUUUUAUUUAUUUUUUAUUUUUUUCAUUUUGAUGAAUCGCUGUCGCUGUAAUUUCUUAAUUUUGUGUCGAAUUUCAGGUUUGUCGACUGUGGUGACCCUGGUGUGGUCUGGCAGCCCGUUCACUGUGUUGUUCUCUGCACAUUGCAUGCUGGGAAAGACUGCAGUGGCCCUGUAACGCUGAGAAGGAUUGAGCAGAGUUUACUUUUCUACCCGGGCCCCUCUCUGAUUUGGAAAAGACUCCCAGGACACAACAGGACACUUUUUCUUCAUCCUGCACCUCUGUGUCUCGCUGUGGGAUGGGCAAAAUGAUGCCGCUUUCUCUUCCAGCGCUCUCCCGGACUGCCCG